rnacentral:rRNA from 1 species
ACUCAAAUGAAUUGACGGGGGCCCGCACAAGCGGUGGAGCAUGUGGUUUAAUACGUCACUAACCGUAGAACCUUACCCAGGCUUGACAUCUAGGGAAUCUGGAUGAAAGUCCGGAGUGCCUUCGGGAGCCCUAAGACAGGUGUUGCAUGGCUGUCGUCAGCUCGUGUCGUGAGAUGUUGGGUUAAGUCCCGCAACGAGCGCAACCCUCAUCCGAUGUUGCCAGCGUAAAGUCGGGAACUCUUCGGAAACUGCCCGUGUAAGCGGGAGGAAGGUGGGGAUGACGUCAAGUCAGCAUGGCCCUUACGCCUGGGGCUACACACAUGCUACAAUGGAUGCUAACAAAGGGCAGCAAUACCGCGAGGUGGAGCGAAUCUCAAAAAUGCAUCCUCAGUUCGGAUUGUAGUCUGCAACUCGACUACAUGAAGUUGGAAUCGCUAGUAACCGCAGGUCAGCUAAACUGCGGUGAAUACGUUCCCGGGCCUUGUACACACCGCCCGU